GGGGAGCCUUCUUCAAGGAUUGUAGUGUUACUUUUCUCUUAAACAUCACUCAGUUUAAACAGCUCCCUUCGACAGUCUUCGGUGAAACAGCUUGUGCACAUACACAUUAUUCAGGGUGGACAAGGGCUAAGUACAAACCUUGGAGAGUGGGAAGGAGUUUUAGGGUGAACGUAACUCAUUGGCUGGGGCUUAACAUACUGGGAAUGCCUCAUUUGCAUGAAGAGGCAUUCCUGCAGGCCCAGGGACUUGCUGAGCAGAUUCUGAAUGGGAAAAGAGGAAGUUAAACCUGUAGGUUUGCCAAGGACUAUGUGACCUUCCCCAGGUGGCGGAUGUUGGGGUCAGACUCCCCAGAUAAGGUCAGGCCAAGAAGAGGAAAGCCUGCUGAGAGAGUUCCUGCAUUUGUGACGGAACAACUUGGACAAAGGUCGGAUGGGAGAUUUUUCCAGAGGAAGUGCACUACCUGAAAGUUAAGGUUCCCCCAUCCCGCUGCCUGCCUUUCCCUCUGGACAAACUCUGCUGCAACUUUGCUAACAUGGACCUAUUACAGAGUUCCUUACACCUCACUUAUAUCUUAGUACAAGCUCUCUUCUUAAUCCUGUUUGUUCUAUCUGUGCAUUACCUAUGGAUGAAAUGGACGAGACACCAAAAAAAGCUGAAAAAGCAAGCCUCUUUAGAGAAGCAUGCUAACGACCGAGACCUGAGCCCCUCCAUCUAUGACAUUGAACAAAUACUCUGCAGACUGCUGGCCACCACGUCAAUGAUGACCAAGUUCCUGAAGCAGACAAGGAAACUAAAACUCAGAGAUGUUAAGAAACUUGGCUCAAGGAACGCAGCCAGUAAUGACGAACACAAGAUACCAACACGGGCAGCCUGACUCCUGAGCCCCUCCUCAUCUGCUAAGAAUGACGGCCACCUGCACUUCGGAACAGUCAGCCUAUGAUUUUAAGGAAUUUUCAUCAAACUCUUAGUACCCUACCUUUAUUGUUAACACAAUCAUCAAAAUCAUUAUAGCCGUGUAUGCUUUGGUUUGGAAAUUUCUUUUGAAUUAAAGCUUAAGUAUGACUUAA
rnacentral:lncRNA from 1 species